ensembl:lncRNA
UCAGAGAUGAGCACGUGACCCAAAGCAGUCCAGUGAGAGUCAGUUUUGGGAUGUUUACUAGAAGUCUUGGAGAAAUGUGCUCUUUUUCUAUCAAAGGAUGAUAGGAUAUAGGGUUGUACCUACUGUGGGCUUUGGUGGGGCACCAUCCAAGGAAAGCUUAUUGGAAAUGAAGCCAAAGCAAAGGAAAUGACCAAGAGAUGAAGGGAGGAUCGUGAUCUUACUCUUUGAGCCUCUGGAUCAGUCCAUACCUGAAGCUGGAACUGUCGGUGUGAUUGCAAUCCAGUGGACCUGUGACUUCUCUUUUCGUUGAGGCUGGGACCAGGACCCAUCUUCCUGGAAAUACAUGGCCACCAGAAGAAAACCUGUUCACAACCAGAAUUCCAAUUUACAGGAUUUCCUGACCAGGGAUGGAGCUUGUGUCCCCUGUAGUGGAAGUUUGGAGUCCUAACCACUGGACUGCCAGGGAAGUAUUUCUUUUUAUGGCACUGAUUAUAAUCCCUAAUUAUCUUGCUUCUGUGUUCAACUUUUCUUUCCUGCCCCUGCCCCAUCACUAGAUUAGGCUCCCUGAGAGCAGGGAGUGUGCCCCCUCUCUCCCUCCCUCCCUCCUCCCCUCCCUCCCCCUCCCCACUGGGGCUCACCAUUCUAUUCCCAGGGCUCAGCAGAGUGCCUGGUGGAUGGCAGUUAUCUUCACAAAUAUUUGUGGAAUGAAUGGAUCUUGUAU